GAUGAACGCUGGCGGCGUGCCUAAUACAUGCAAGUCGAGCGAACGGACGAGAAGCUUGCUCCUCUGAUGUUAGCGGCGGACGGGUGAGUAACACGUAGAUAACCUACCUAUAAGACUGGGAUAACUUCGGGAAACCGGAGCUAAUACCGGAUGAUAUUUUGAACCGCAUGGUUCAAAAGUGAAAGAUGGUCUUGCUGUCACUUAUAGAUGGAUCCGCGCUGCAUUAGCUAGUUGGUAAGGUAACGGCUUACCAAGGCAACGAUGCAUAGCCGACCUGAGAGGGUGAUCGGCCACACUGGAACUGAGACACGGUCCAGACUCCUACGGGAGGCAGCAGUAGGGAAUCUUCCGCAAUGGGCGAAAGCCUGACGGAGCAACGCCGCGUGAGUGAUGAAGGUCUUCGGAUCGUAAAACUCUGUUAUUAGGGAAGAACAAAUGUGUAAGUAACUGUGCACAUCUUGACGGUACCUAAUCAGAAAGCCACGGCUAACUACGUG
rnacentral:rRNA from 1 species